GGGGAUGUGGCUCAGUGGCAGAGCUCUUGCCUUGCACGCGUAAGGCCCUGGGUUCAAUCCCCCAGCACCACCA
rnacentral:tRNA from 1 species